rnacentral:rRNA from 1 species
CGGUAAUUCCUGCUCCAAUAGCGUAUACUAAAGUUGUUGCAGUUAAAAAGCUCGUAGUUGGAUUUCUGCGGGGACGGAGCGGCCGGACGCAACUUGCGUCUCGAGCUAGCGCUUUCCCCGCAUCCUGCCGCGAACCGUGCUACCAUUAGUUUGGUGGCGCUGGGGAUCGGCUCGAUUACUUUGAGAAAAAUAGAGUGUUCAAAGCAGGCCACACGCCUUGAAUAAGUUAGCAUGGAAUAAUGACUAAGGACUUCGGUUCUAUUUUGUUGGUGUUCGGGACUGAAGUAAUGAUUGAUAGGGACAGUUGGGGCGGUCUGUAUUCCAAAGCGAGAGGUGAAAUUCUUAGACCUUCGGAAGACAAACAGCUGCGAAAGCGUUCCGCAAGGAUGUUCCCUUUGAUCAAGAACGAAAGUUGGGGGAUCGAAGACGAUCAGAUACCGUCGUAGUCUCAACUAUAAACUAUACCAGCUAGGGAUCGGCCAACGUUUAAUUAUUCGACUUGGUCGGCACCUUAUGAGAAAUCAAAGCAUCUGGGUUCCGGGGGGAGUAUGGUCGCAAGGCUGAAACUUAAAGGAAUUGACGGAAGGGCACCACCAGCCGUGGAGCCUGUGGCUUAAUUUGACUCAACACGGGAAAACUUACCAGGUCCAGACAUAGGAAGGAUUGACAGAUUGAUAGCUCUUUCUUGAUUCUGUGGGUGGUGGUGCAUGGCCGUUUUUAGUUGGUGGAGUGAUUUGUCUGCUUAAUUGCGUUAACGAACGAGACCCCAGCCUGCUAAAUAGCGCGGCCGAGCUUUGCUCGGUGCGAGCUUCUUAGAGGGACCAUGAUGCGCGAUAGCACAAGGAAGUUUGGGGCAACAACAGGUCUGUGAUGCCCUUAGAUGUUCUGGGCCGCACACGGGCUACACUGGCGCCUGCAACGAGCAUAUCAGCUGGCCCGAGAGGGUCUUGGCUAAUCUUUUGAACCGGCGCCGUGCUUGGGAUUGACCUUUGCAAUUGUUGGUCAUGCAACGAGGAAUGCCUUGUAAACGCGAGUCAUCAGCUCGCAUUGAAUACGUCCCUGCCCUUUGUACACACCGCCCGUCGCUCCUACCGAUGAAUGUUCCGAUGAAAUUUUCGGAGAGCGCCAGAGAACGGGGCUCUGCCUUGCAGAUCUGGAGGCUCAAAGUCACUUAAAUCUGAACAUUUCGAGGAAGGAGAAGUCGUAACAAGGUAACC